rnacentral:lncRNA from 1 species
UCCAAAUUUCUCAAUAACAAAUAAGUGUUAAGAGGCAGAAGGACUCUUCUAUGCCUCUUAUUAACCUAAAAACCAUGCCAUGUAAAAAUUUCAUCAUGGAAAAAAAAAGGGAUAAACAUGGAAUGUGGAAUCCCAUCCCAUGGGGUGCCAAAUAAUUCUUUGCACACAAAUAAACACCAUGCACCAAAGAGAGAAUCUCCAGUGCUUGGGAUGCU